UCCUGUCUUUGUCUGUUUUCCCGCCCUCCAUGAUCACCUGAGUUUCAGUUCACCUGAGUUUCUUUGUCCAGUCUGUCAGUCUUCACAGUUUUGUCCUCCAACAUGUCUGACGUAGGUUUCUCCUCUUUAUUCGGAUUCUUUUUCCUGAUCUGACCUGCUCACAGUCGAAACCAGGUCCGUGGAAAAAGAAGUUGAAGAACCAUGACAAUGACAUGAAGAGGCUUCAAAACUUCAAAUGACUCAACCUCUGCCUCAAAAUACAAACGACGUGGAGCUUGGCCGUCUUCUUGGACGAUCCAGAUGCUUCGUAAAUGGUUCCAUCCAGAUCCACAGACAUGGUGAAGACUGGAGC